AGGGUUUGAUUCUGGCUCAGGAUGAACGCUAGCGGCAGGCCUAAUACAUGCAAGUCGGACGGGAUUGCGGAGCUUGCUUCACAUGAGAGUGGCGCACGGGUGCGUAACACGUAUGUAACCUACCCAUAUCAGGGGGAUAGCCUCUCGAAAGAGAGAUUAAGCCCGCAUAAAAUCACAUUGCAGCAUUGCAAAAUGAUCAAAUAUUUAUAGGAUAUGGAUGGGCAUGCGGAACAUUAGCUAGUUGGUAAGGUAAUGGCUUACCAAGGCAACGAUGUUUAGGGGAUCUGAGAGGAUGACCCCCCACACUGGUACUGAGACACGGACCAGACUCCUACGGGAGGCAGCAGUAAGGAAUAUUGGUCAAUGGGCGGAAGCCUGAACCAGCCAUGCCGCGUGCAGGAAGACGGCCCUACGGGUUGUAAACUGCUUUUAUACGGGAAUAAACCCCACUACGUGUAGUGGGCUGAAUGUACUGUAAGAAUAAGGAUCGGCUAACUCCGUGCCAGCAGCCGCGGUAAUACGGAGGAUCCAAGCGUUAUCCGGAUUUAUUGGGUUUAAAGGGUGCGUAGGCGGCUUUUUAAGUCAGGGGUGAAAGACGGUACUUAACUAUCGCAGUGCCCUUGAUACUGAAGAGCUUGAAUAUACUUGAGGUAGGCGGAAUGUGACAAGUAGCGGUGAAAUGCAUAGAUAUGUCACAGAACACCAAUUGCGAAGGCAGCUUACUAAGGUAUGAUUGACGCUGAGGCACGAAAGCGUGGGGAUCAAACAGGAUUAGAUACCCUGGUAGUCCACGCCCUAAACGAUGAACACUCGAUGUUGGCGAUAUACGGUCAGCGUCAAAGCGAAAGCGUUAAGUGUUCCACCUGGGGAGUACGCCCGCAAGGGUGAAACUCAAAGGAAUUGACGGGGGCCCGCACAAGCGGAGGAGCAUGUGGUUUAAUUCGAUGAUACGCGAGGAACCUUACCCGGGCUUGAAAGUUAGUGAAUGGAGCAGAGACGCUCCAGUCCUUCGGACACGAAACUAGGUGCUGCAUGGCUGUCGUCAGCUCGUGCCGUGAGGUGUUGGGUUAAGUCCCGCAACGAGCGCAACCCCUAUGUUUAGUUGCCAGCACGUAAAGGUGGGGACUCUAAACAGACUGCCUACGCAAGUAGAGAGGAAGGAGGGGACGACGUCAAGUCAUCAUGGCCCUUACGUCCGGGGCUACACACGUGCUACAAUGGGCAGUACAGAGGGCAGCGACCUGGUAACAGGAAGCCAAUCUCAAAAAGCUGUUCACAGUUCGGAUCGGGGUCUGCAACUCGACCCCGUGAAGUUGGAUUCGCUAGUAAUCGCAGAUCAGCAAUGCCGCGGUGAAUACGUUCCCGGGCCUUGUACACACCGCCCGUCAAGCCAUGGAAGCUGGGGGUGCCUGAAGCCGGUAACCGCAAGGAGCCGUCUAGGGUAAAACCGGUAACUGGGGCUAAGUCGUAACAAGGUAG
rnacentral:rRNA from 1 species